GACGAACGCUGGCGGCGCGCCUAACACAUGCGAGUCGAACGGAGUCAAGAGGAGCUUGCUUUUCUUGACUUAGUGGCGAACGGGUGAGUAACGCGUGAGUAACCUGCCCUGGAGUGGGGGACAACAGUUGGAAACGACUGCUAAUACCGCAUAAGCCCACGGAUCUGCAUGGAUCUGCGGGAAAAGGAUUUAUUCGCUCUAGGAUGGACUCGCGUCCAAUUAGCUAGUUGGUGAGGUAACGGCCCACCAAGGCGACGAUUGGUAGCCGGACUGAGAGGUUGAACGGCCACAUUGGGACUGAGACACGGCCCAGACUCCUACGGGAGGCAGCAGUGGGGGAUAUUGCACAAUGGGGGAAACCCUGAUGCAGCGACGCCGCGUGGAGGAAGAAGGUUUUCGGAUUGUAAACUCCUGUCGUUAGGGACGAUAAUGACGGUACCUAACAAGAAAGCACCAGCUAACUACGUG
rnacentral:rRNA from 1 species